rnacentral:lncRNA from 1 species
UGCUAAAGGCGUCCAGCAAUCGUUUCCCAGGAUAGAACGAAUUUUUCGUCUCCUACGGAAGCAGCACUGCAGUCUGUAGGAGUUCCAACGAACUCAACGAAGUGUUUUUUACUUCGAGACAAUAUCAGAACGAGAGAGAGGGAAAUGAGAUUCAAAGCACAGAAAGUUUGCAAUGAAAAUGGUGUAAAUUUUCUGGUAGAAAGGC